UCGUUACCAAACAAGGUGUUUGAAAAUUUACCGAAACUUGUCGCCUUACUGCACAUCCCGCCACCUGAUGAUUUUCUGAACCCUAAUUCCCCGAGAAAACGCAAUUACAGUCAUCUCCAGUCACCGGGAUUUGCGGAUCCGGAGCUAAUAGCAAUGAACUGCCGCCCAUAACUCCGCCCCCUAGAUUCUCGGACAUUUUUCUUUUGUAUAAGAACCAUGGGAACCUCAACCACAGACGGUUCUGCUAACGAAACCGACAGUGUCCCCAACAACAAUAAUACCGAAAUCGACUGUAAAAGUGAGCCUGACGACGACUGUCUCACUCCGCCUCGCUCUGACUCGUUUUCAGUAGGUGAGAAGGUUCUCGCUUUUCACAGUAAUCAGCUCUAUGAAGCCAAGCGAAUCUUGCUUACCAUGUGUUUUACUUUAAAGGUGAGAAAAAUUGAAUAUCAGAUGGAGGAAUGGAAGUGUUUCGUUCAUUAUCUUGGCUGGAAGAAAAGUUGGGAUGAAUGGGUAGGUAAGGAGCGUUUGAUGAAAUUUACUGAAGAGAAUGUCAAGAAACAGCAAGUCCUGAAAAAACAGGAUCCAGACAAGAAUUCAAGGCCAGGGCGGGCAUCACAGACCAAACCAAAAAGUUCAUGUGUUACUCGUGGGAGGAAGCGGAAGAAUGAUUCUCCUGAUAAGGAAAAGGGCACCACAUCCUUGGAAAAAGUCGUGAAUCUCCAGAUUCCACUUGCACUAAAGAAGCAACUAGUUGAUGACUGGGAAUUCAUCACGCAUAUGGGGAAGCUUGUAAAGCUUCCGCGUACUCCGAAUGUGGAUGACAUUUUGAAAAAGUAUCUUGAUUAUAGAUUAAAGAAGGAUGGCUCGAUAAGUGAUUCAAUCAGAGAAAUUCAAAAAGGAUUAUGUUGUUACUUUGAUAAAGCAUUGCCUAUGAUACUCCUGUACAAAAGCGAGCAUCAACAAUAUAAAGAUUCUAUUACUCUUGGUGUCUCACCCUCAACUGUAUAUGGUGCUGAGCAUUUCUUACGCCUCUUUGUUAAAUUACCGGGGUUGCUUUUUUAUGCGAACAUUGAGAUUGAGACACUGAAGGAGCUACAGCAAGUAUUCGUUGACUUCCUGAAGUAAAUUACAUCAUGCAGAAGUCGUGGUAUGGCAUGGUCACAUUCAGGCUUAAUCUUGUGAUACCUUUCCAUGCAGGUUCCUCCAGAAGAAUCAGAGCAUAUUUUUCCUUUCUACUUACCAUGUUGCAGAAGAAAUGGAAACAUGCUCCAACGAACAAGAUGGUUAAUUCUGAAGAUGGCAGGCAGGAAUGCAGAAUGAAAGGAAGCAUGCAUCAUGGUAGCCAUGUAAGCUUCCAGCCGUUGUAGACUAUAUAGUCAAAUCGUACAUCAACAUCUCUGCUCAGUCUGCUGUUUUCACAUAUACAUAUACAUAUAUAUAUAUAUAUAUUCCUUUUUUGUUGGGGUGAAGAAACUAUUGUCCUUAAGAAUUUUAUGAAGGUUAACAACUGUGGAAUGUGGCGUGCGGUCUUGACGUUUUAAUAUUCUCUGGAUGGGCUUUUUGUUGGAUUUCACCAACGGCGUUGGUGAGAUCUAUACAAAACUUCCCUUCUCAACUCGUGUGAAGACCCGAAAAGGGGAGAAAUGCAUCCAUGUAACAAUUCCCUACAAA